GGGGGGGGGGGGGGGGGGGGGGGGGGGGGGGGGGGGGGGGGGGGGGGGGGGGUGCGUUUCGUUGUUUUGCUUUGUUUUUUUUUCCUCUGUGUAGGAAUGCUUUCUGGGUAAGGCAGCGGGACAGCUGGUUGGAAAAUAACCUGCUGAGAUGCUGCCAGGGCAGCUGGUUGGAAAAUAACGUGCUGAGAUUGCCAGGGCAGCUGGUUGGAAAAUAACCUGCUGAGAUGCUGCCAGGGAGCAGCUUUGCUGUCCAAGCAUUGCCCCCGCAGCGCUUCUGCCCGGGCAGGCCUGCCCGCUCCCGGCUGCUGGCAGCGGCCCGCGGCUGUGCCGCUGGGGCAGCCUGUCCCACCUUAGGGAAAGGCUCCGAACAGGUCCCUGCACGGGCUCGCUGCCCGGCGCCCGAGGAUGCCGAAGUCUGUGGGUUUGCGCUCCGAAGCAUUCCGUGCACAGGCACCUGCACGAGGGAGGAGGAAGACACGCACGCAAAAGGCUCACUAGAGGCUGGAAAUCCCUCGCAGAAGCUGAGAACCACGAAAAGAACAGUUAUUGGAAAACUGAGUAGGAAACAAGCUGAAACAUAAGAUAUACUGCACAAUCUUGAAGUGAUAAUAUUAAAAUGCAGAUUGGGCUCCUGGUUGGAGCUGAGACAAAAGGCCAUGAAUGCCCAGCCUUUGGGAUAGCAAAGGACAUGAAGACAGGUGACCGCAGCCAGGUGAAUGGACAACGGGGAAUAACAGCGGAGCCGGUGACUGCCGGCCUUUUGGAUAAGGUGACGCCAGUGCGAUGGACGAACACGGAGCGGGGAGGCAGGAGGAGAAGGAGGAGCGGGACUGACUCCCCGGGGAGACUGUGAGGUUAUAAAAGCCCGGGGGCUCUUGGGCUUCAGGGGCUUGGAUGUAUUGGGCGCGCACUGUUCUUCCGCUGGCCGUGUGGCUGAGCUCUAGUGUGCGGUUACUGUAAAAGAAAAGGGUGCCAGCGAUGCAGGGGCAAGGCCGGGGUUCCGCUCGCUUUCCUUGUAGCCCAGGCUGCCCGCAAGCCCAGGAGCGCCGGGCGGAGCGCGGGCGGCGGAGGCGCCGCUCUGUGCGGGGCAUUGCGCGGCUCCCCGCGGCCGCGGCCCCGCCCCGCUUCCUGCGGGGCUCUCCCUCCCGCUCCUCCUUUCGGUUUUCAUUUUCGUUCUUGCGCGGGCGGGCGGCGCGGCGGGAAACGAAACUGGGCGGAGUCGGCGCGGCGCGGGGGGGGCGGGGGGGGGGGGGGGGGGGGGGGGGGGGGGGGGGGGGGGGGGGGGGGGGGGGGGGGGGGGGGGGGGGGGGGGGGGGGGGGGGGGGG
rnacentral:lncRNA from 12 species